rnacentral:tRNA from 1 species
CAAAAUGUAGUUUAAUUCAGAGCAUCGGCUUUGGGUGCCGAAGGUGGGAGUGUAAAUCUCGUCAUUUUGA